UACGGUGGGUGCGAGCGUUGUCCGGAAUCACUGGGCGUAAAGGGCGCGUAGGCGGCGCGGAUAGUCGGCGGUGAAAGCCCGGAGCUCAACUCCGGGUCGGCCGUCGAUACUUCCGGGCUUGAGCACUGUAGAGGCAGAUGGAAUUCCGGGUGUAGCGGUGGAAUGCGUAGAGAUCCGGAAGAACACCGGUGGCGAAGGCGGUCUGCUGGGCAGUUUCUGACACUGAUGCGCGACAGCGUGGGGAGCAAACAGG
rnacentral:rRNA from 1 species